UACGGGGGGGGCAAGCGUUGUUCGGAAUUACUGGGCGUAAAGGGCUCGUAGGUGGCCAACUAAGUCAGACGUGAAAUCCCUCAGCUUAACUGGGGAACUGCGUCUGAUACUGGAUGGCUUGAGUGCAGGAGAGGAACGCGGAAUUCCAGGUGUAGCGGUGAAAUGCGUAGAUAUCUGGAGGAACACCGGUGGCGAAGGCGGCGUUCUGGACUGCUACUGACACUGAGGAACGAAAGCCAGGGGAGCAAACGGG
rnacentral:rRNA from 1 species